rnacentral:rRNA from 1 species
CUACGGGUUGCUCCAGUGAGGAAUAUUGGGCAAUGGAGGCAACUCUGACCCAGCCAUGCCGCGUGCAGGAGGACGGCCCUCUGGGUUGUAAACUGCUUUUGUUUGGGAAUAAACCCUUCUACGUGUAGAAGGCUGAAGGUACCUUACGAAUAAGGAUCGGCUAACUCCGUGCCAGCAGCCGCGGUAAUACGGAGGAUCCAAGCGUUAUCCGGAUUUAUUGGGUUUAAAGGGUCCGUAGGCGGAUCUUUAAGUCAGUGGUGAAAGCCCACAGCUCAACUGUGGAACUGCCAUUGAUACUGGAGAUCUUGAGUGUAGUAGAAGUAGGCGGAAUAGGGCAUGUAGCGGUGAAAUGCAUAGAUAUGCCCUAGAACACCGAUUGCGAAGGCAGCUUACUAUGUUACAACUGACGCUGAGGGACGAAAGCGUGGGGAGCAAACAGGAUUAGAUACCCCGGUAGUC